rnacentral:rRNA from 1 species
AUUGAACGCUGGCGGCAUGCUUUACACAUGCAAGUCGAACGGCAGCGCGGGCUUCGGCCUGGCGGCGAGUGGCGAACGGGUGAGUAAUACAACGGAACGUGCCCAGUAGUGGGGGAUAGCUCGGCGAAAGCCGGAUUAAUACCGCAUACGACCUGAGGGUGAAAGAGGGGGAUCUUCGGAACUCGCGCUAUUGGAGAGGCCGAUGGCAGAUUAGCUAGUUGGUGGGGUAAAGGCCUACCAAGGCGACGAUCUGUAGCUGGUCUGAGAGGACGACCAGCCACACUGGGACUGAGACACGGCCCAGACUCCGACGGGAGGCAGCAGUGGGGAAUUUUGGACAAGGGGCGAAAGCCUGAUCCAGCAAUGCCGCGUGUGUGAUGAAGGCCUUCGGGUUGUAAAGCACUUUUGGCGGGAACGAAAAGGACUGUGCCAAUACCACGGUUCGAGGACGGUACCCGCAGAAUAAGCACCGGCUAACUACGU